UUUUAUUAUAGGGUGUUCAUCUGAUAUGAUUCAACCCCUCUCCAAUACAGUUUUAUUAUAGGGUGUUCAUCUGAUAUGAUUCAACCCCUCUCCAAUACAGUUUUAUUAUAGGGUGUUCAUCUGAUAUGAUUCAACCCCUCUCCAAUACAGUUUUAUUAUAGGGUGUUCAUCUAAAUGAUUCAACCCCUCUUCAAUACAGUUUUAUUAUAGGGUGUUCAUCUAAAUGAUUCAACCCCUCUCCAAUACAGUUUUAUUAUAGGGUGUUCAUCUAAAUGAUUCAACCCCUCUCCAAUACAGUUUUAUUAUAGGGUGUUCAUCUGAUAUGAUUCAACCCCUCUCCAAUACAGUUUUAUUAUAGGGUGUUCAUCUGAUAUGAUUCAACCCCUCUCCAAUACAGUUUUAUUAUAGGGUGUUCAUCUAAAUGAUUCAACCCCUCUCCAAUACAGUUUUAUUAUAGGGUGUUAAUCUGAUAUGAUUCAACCCCUCUCCAAUACUGCCAUGGGUGUCUCAGUGCAGUCCAGCCUAAGCAUAGCAUCAGUAGAGUCCUGCUCUACGGUUAAACUACACUAUAUUACAGACAUGCAUGAAGCAAAAAGGAUAAUCACACUUACGAUGAUUAACCAAUGACAGCAAACAUGUACCGUAAAGCCACGCCUCCCCCCCAAUGAUAGCAAACAUGUACCGUAAAGCCACGCCUCCCCCAAUGACAGCAAACAUGUACCGUAAAGCCACGCCCCCCCAAUGAUAGCAAACAUGUACCGUAAAGCCACGCCUCCCCCCUCCCCCAGCUACCACAUUUACAUGCCAUUCCUGUGCAUGUUAACCUGGUUCACACUAUCGGAAAAAAACAAGCUAAGCCCUUCCUUAGCUGAACUAGGCUGGUCUAGGGUGGUCUGGUUAAAUAUCUAGCAGCUGAACUAGGCUGGUCUAGGGUGGUCUGGUUAAACAUCUACCAGCUGAACUAGGCUGGUCUAGGGUGGUCUGGUUAAACAUCUACCAGCUGAACUAGGCUGGUCUAGGGUGGUCUGGUUAAACAUCUACCAGCUGAACUAGGUUGGUGUAGGGUGGUCUGGUUAAACAUCUACCAGCUGGACUAGGCUGGUCUAGGGUGGUCUGGUUAAACAUCUACCAGCUGAACUAGGUUGGUGUAGGGUGGUCUGGUUAAACAUCUACCAGCUGGACUAGGUUGGUGUAGGGUGGUCUGGUUAAACAUCUACCAGCUGAACUAGGUUGGUGUAGGGUGGUCUGGUUAAACAUCUACCAGCUGAACUAGGUUGGUGUAGGGUGGUCUGGUUAAACAUCUACCAGCUGAACUAGGUUGGUGUAGGGUGGUCUGGUUGAACAUCUACCAGACCCAUGUUCUACCAGAUUAGUCCUCCUAUAGUACCAUGUUCUACCAGAUUAGUCCUCCUAUAGUACCGUGUUCUACCAGAUUAGUCCUCCUAUAGAACCAUGUUCUACCAGAUUAGUCUUCCUAUAGUACCAUGUUCUACCAGAUUAGUCCUCCUAUAGUACCAUGUCCUACCAGAUUAGUCCUCCUAUAGUACCAUGUUCUACCAGAUUAGUCCUCCUACAGUACCAUGUUAUACCAGAUUAGUCCUCCUAUAGUACCAGACCCCAUGUUCUACCAGAUUAGUCCUCCUAUAGUACCAUGUUCUACCAGAUUAGUCCUCCUAUCGUACCAUGUUCUACCCAGAUUAGUCCUCCUAUUGUACCAUGUUCUACCCAGAUUAGUCCUCUUAUAGAACCAGACCCCAUGGUCUACCAGAUUAGUCCUCCUAUAGUACCAUGUUCUACCAGAUUAGUCCUCCUAUUGUACCAUGUUCUACCAGAUUAGUCCUCCUAUAGUACCAUGUUCUACCCAGAUUAGUCCUCCUAUAGAACCAUGUUCUACCAGAUUAGUCCUCCUAUAGUACCAUGUUCUACCAGAUUAGUCCUCCUAUAGUACCAGACCCCAUGUUCUACCAGAUUAGUCCUCCUUUAGAACCAUGUUCUACCAGAUUAGUCUUCCUAUAGUACAAUGUUCUACCAGAUUAGUCCUCCUAUAGUACCAUGUUCUACCAGAUUAGUCCUCCUAUAGUACCAGACCCCAUGUUCUACCAGAUUAGUCCUCCUAUAGUACCAUGUUCUACCAGAUUAGUCCUCCUAUAGAACCAUGUUCUACCAGAUUAGUCCUCCUAGGUAUUGGAUGAAAUAAAAACCAUAUCUAGUAUGUAUGGGGCUGUGUGGAAACAGUGGAUUAUCUAGUAUGUAUGGUGCUGUGUGGAAACAGUGGAUUACCUAGUAUGUAUGGUGCUGUGUGGAAAAACGGGAUUAUCUAGUAUGUAUGGUGCUGUGUGGAAACAGGGGAUUAUCUAGUAUGUAUGGUGCUGUGUGGAAACAGGGGAUUAUCUAGUGUGUAUGGUGCUGUGUGGAAACUGUAGGUUAUCUAGUAUGUAUGGUGCUGUGUGGAAACAGUGGAUUACCUAGUAUGUAUGGUGCUGUGUGGAAACAGGGAUUAUCUAGUAUGUAUGGUGCUGUGUGGAAACAGGGGAUUAUCUAGUAUGUAUGGUGCUGUGUGGAAACAGUGGAUUAUCUAGUAUGUAUGGUGCUGUGUGGAAACAGGGAUUAUCUAGUAUGUAUGGUGCUGUGUGGAAACAGUGGAUUAUCUAGUAUGUAUGGUGCUGUGUGGAAACUGUGGGUUAUCUAGUAUGUAUGGUGCUGUGUGGAAACAGUGGAUUAUCUAGUAUGUAUGGUGCUGUGUGGAAACAGUGGAUUAUCUAGUGUGUAUGGUGCUGUGUGGAAACAGUGGAUUAUCUAGUAUGUAUGGUGCUGUGUGGAAACAGUGGAUUAUCUAGUAUGUAUGGUGCUGUGUGGAAACAGUGGAUUAUCUAGUAUGUAUGGUGCUGUGUGGAAACAGUGGAUUAUCUAGUGUGUAUGGUGCUGUGUGGAAACAGUGGAUUAUCUAGUGUGUAUGGUGCUGUGUGGAAACUGUGAGUCGUAGGAGCCUUUCAGUUGAAGAAAGAAUCCAUAAUGCCAGAUCUAGAUUUACCUCAAUUGUCCUGCCAGAUUAUGAAUUUAUUUAAAUGUUUAUCUUUAAAAAAAAAAAUAUUAACAUCAGGACAUCAGGGUACUCAGGCAGACGGGAUAGUUCUUCCUCAUUUGAUAAUGUUUUUAGAGUACAGUUGGCCAAAGCUCGAGACAGAUCUGUUCUUUUUAACUUGUAAACCAAUCAAGGGACCAAAGGUAGUGUUUUUUUUUUUUUAGAGCCUAUGUUUUGAUAAGCGUUUUGGCUACGUGCACAAAAGGUGGUGUGACGAUGACUAUGUCACAGUCCCAAAUGGCACCCUAUUCCCUACAAAGUGCACUACUUUUAGUGCACUAUAUAGGGGAUAGGGUGCCACCUGGGAUACAGAUCCUAUGCUAGAAGACACUCCCAAUAUACUGUAUAGUCCAAUAUGUGGAAAAAGCACCGUUUCUGAGGGUAGAAUUCACAUCUUUGGAUAACUUUUCAAAACAAACGAUGUGGUACCAUAUGUCAGCGUAUAUACUGUGUUGAUCAUGACAUCAUGAUGAUUGACAUGCGAUAUGGGGGGGGGGACCAAUGAGAAAAGGUUUAGUUGGAAGCUUUUGGGAUUUGUUAACCAUUUAUACCACAACAUGUUUUCCUGCGAUGGGGAUGAGUUGAUGUGUCUGUUUCGUUUAUGAAGUCGGAAAUAUGUAUAAAUAUAAUUUAUAUAUAUAUAUAUAUAUAUAUAUAUAUAUAUAUAUAUAUAUAUAUUUGAUUUCUUAAAAACCUUAACCCAAUGCUUAAUUAUAUAAAUCACCUACGUUGGUCCUACUGACACUGACAUUUGUAUUUUCUUAUCAAGGUUGUGAGAAAAAAUAAAAUAUAUGUAUUAUAUAUUUUUUUGUCUCUACACUUCUAUAACUGUAUCUUAUUCCAUACCAGAAUGAAGCGAUGUAUUGGAUAGCUCUGGUCCACGGUGUUACCACACGUCCCUCCAUGAAGACAUAUAUAUAUAUAAUGCCCUGGACCAGAGCUAUGUAUUGGAUAGCUCUGGUCCACGGUGUUACCACACGUCCCUCCAUGAAGACAUAUAUAUAUAUAUAUAAUGCCCUGGACCAGAGCUAUGUAUUGGAUAGCUCUGGUCCACGGUGGUACCACACGUCCCUCCAUGAAGACAUAUAUAUAUAUAUAAUGCCCUGGACCAGAGCUAUGUAUUGGAUAGCUCUGGUCCACGGUGUUACCACACGUCCUUCCAUGAAGACAUAUAUAUAAUGCCCUGGACCAGAGCUACGUAUUGGAUAGCUCUGGUCCACGGUGUUACCACACGUCCUUCCAUGAAGACAUAUAUAUAUAUAAUGCCCUGGACCAGAGCUAUGGUUAUGGGCCCGAUAGGGCCCAGGUCAACAGUAGUGCACUAUGUAGGGAAUAGGAUGCCGUUUGAGAUACAUCCUAUGUCUUUUAAACUAAAAGCAAUGAUUUAUACAGUACAAAGUGUUAUUGCGAUUUUAACUACUGAUAUGUAAAUUACCUGCUAUGAGUGCACAAGUCAUUUAAUAAAUUAUUAAAAUGUUAUUGAACCUAAAUAAGGUGUUUAAAUAUAUUUUUUUAUAUUCGUUGCAUAAAAGAUUCUGUUCUGUUAGAAACACGUCAUUACGAAGCUUCCUUCAUUUUGGUCAUGUCUCGAUUGGCACCCUAUUCCCUUUAUAGUGCACUACUUUGGACCAGGACCUGCAUAGAGAAUAGGGUGCCAGGGCCCAUAGGGUUCUGAUCUAAAGUAGUGCACUAUAUAGGGAAUAGGGUGCCAGGGGCCAUAGGGAUCUGGUCUAAAGUAGUGCACUAUAUAGGGAA
ensembl:lncRNA